rnacentral:rRNA from 1 species
AAGCACGAAACUUGCCCCGAGAUGAGUUCUCCCUGAGACUUUAAGUCUCCUGAAGGAACGUUGAAGACGACGACGUUGAUAGGCCGGGUGUGUAAGCGCAGCGAUGCGUUGAGCUAACCGGUACUAAUGAACCGUGAGGCUUAACCUU